GGGUUGUGAGGUUAAGCGACUAAGCGUACACGGUGGAUGCCCUGGCAGUCAGAGGCGAUGAAGGACGUGCUAAUCUGCGAAAAGCGCCGGCGAGGUGAUAUGAACCUUUGACCCGGCGAUGUCCGAAUGGGGAAACCCAGUGUGAUUCGUCACACUAUCGUUAACUGAAUACAUAGGUUAACGAGGCGAACCGGGGGAACUGAAACAUCUAAGUACCCCGAGGAAAAGAAAUCAACCGAGAUUCCCCCAGUAGCGGCGAGCGAACGGGGAGCAGCCCAGAGUCUGAAUCAGCUUGUGUGUUAGUGGAAGCGUCUGGAAAGUCGCACGGUACAGGGUGACAGUCCCGUACACGAAAACACACAGGUUGUGAACUCGAAGAGUAGGGCGGGACACGUGGUAUCCUGUCUGAAUAUGGGGGGACCAUCCUCCAAGGCUAAAUACUCCUGACUGACCGAUAGUGAACCAGUACCGUGAGGGAAAGGCGAAAAGAACCCCGGCGAGGGGAGUGAAAAAGAACCUGAAACCGUGUACGUACAAGCAGUGGGAGCACCUUCGUGGUGUGACUGCGUACCUUUUGUAUAAUGGGUCAGCGACUUAUAUUCUGUAGCAAGGUUAACCGUAUAGGGGAGCCGAAGGGAAACCGAGUCUUAACUGGGCGUUAAGUUGCAGGGUAUAGACCCGAAACCCGGUGAUCUAGCCAUGGGCAGGUUGAAGGUUGGGUAACACUAACUGGAGGACCGAACCGACUAAUGUUGAAAAAUUAGCGGAUGACUUGUGGCUGGGGGUGAAAGGCCAAUCAAACCGGGAGAUAGCUGGUUCUCCCCGAAAGCUAUUUAGGUAGCGCCUCGUGAACUCAUCUUCGGGGGUAGAGCACUGUUUCGGCUAGGGGGCCAUCCCGGCUUACCAACCCGAUGCAAACUACGAAUACCGAAGAAUGUUAUCACGGGAGACACACGGCGGGUGCUAACGUCCGUCGUGAAGAGGGAAACAACCCAGACCGCCAGCUAAGGUCCCAAAGUCAUGGUUAAGUGGGAAACGAUGUGGGAAGGCACAGACAGCCAGGAUGUUGGCUUAGAAGCAGCCAUCAUUUAAAGAAAGCGUAAUAGCUCACUGGUCGAGUCGGCCUGCGCGGAAGAUGUAACGGGGCUAAACCAUGCACCGAAGCUGCGGCAGCGACGCUUAUGCGUUGUUGGGUAGGGGAGCGUUCUGUAAGCCGUUGAAGGUGUGCUGUGAGGCAUGCUGGAGGUAUCAGAAGUGCGAAUGCUGACAUAAGUAACGAUAAAGCGGGUGAAAAGCCCGCUCGCCGGAAGACCAAGGGUUCCUGUCCAACGUUAAUCGGGGCAGGGUGAGUCGACCCCUAAGGCGAGGCCGAAAGGCGUAGUCGAUGGGAAACAGGUUAAUAUUCCUGUACUUGGUGUUACUGCGAAGGGGGGACGGAGAAGGCUAUGUUAGCCGGGCGACGGUUGUCCCGGUUUAAGCAUGUAGGCGGAGGUUCCAGGUAAAUCCGGUACCUUUUAACGCUGAGGUGUGAUGACGAGGCACUACGGUGCUGAAGUAACAAAUGCCCUGCUUCCAGGAAAAGCCUCUAAGCAUCAGGUAACAUUAAAUCGUACCCCAAACCGACACAGGUGGUCAGGUAGAGAAUACCAAGGCGCUUGAGAGAACUCGGGUGAAGGAACUAGGCAAAAUGGUGCCGUAACUUCGGGAGAAGGCACGCUGAUAUGUAGGUGAAGCCCCUGCGGGUGGAGCUGAAAUCAGUCGAAGAUACCAGCUGGCUGCAACUGUUUAUUAAAAACACAGCACUGUGCAAACACGAAAGUGGACGUAUACGGUGUGACGCCUGCCCGGUGCCGGAAGGUUAAUUGAUGGGGUUAGCGGCAACGCGAAGCUCUUGAUCGAAGCCCCGGUAAACGGCGGCCGUAACUAUAACGGUCCUAAGGUAGCGAAAUUCCUUGUCGGGUAAGUUCCGACCUGCACGAAUGGCGUAAUGAUGGCCAGGCUGUCUCCACCCGAGACUCAGUGAAAUUGAACUCGCUGUGAAGAUGCAGUGUACCCGCGGCAAGACGGAAAGACCCCGUGAACCUUUACUAUAGCUUGACACUGAACACUGGUCCUUGAUGUGUAGGAUAGGUGGGAGGCUUUGAAGCGUGGACGCCAGUCUGCGUGGAGCCGUCCUUGAAAUACCACCCUUUAAUGGCUGGUGUUCUAACGUAGACCCGUGAUCCGGGUUGCGGACAGUGUCUGGUGGGUAGUUUGACUGGGGCGGUCUCCUCCCAAAGAGUAACGGAGGAGCACGAAGGUUAGCUAAUCCUGGUCGGACAUCAGGAGGUUAGUGCAAUGGCAUAAGCUAGCUUGACUGCGAGAGUGACGGCUCGAGCAGGUGCGAAAGCAGGUCAUAGUGAUCCGGUGGUUCUGAAUGGAAGGGCCAUCGCUCAACGGAUAAAAGGUACUCCGGGGAUAACAGGCUGAUACCGCCCAAGAGUUCAUAUCGACGGCGGUGUUUGGCACCUCGAUGUCGGCUCAUCACAUCCUGGGGCUGAAGUAGGUCCCAAGGGUAUGGCUGUUCGCCAUUUAAAGUGGUACGCGAGCUGGGUUUAGAACGUCGUGAGACAGUUCGGUCCCUAUCUGCCGUGGGCGCUGGAGAAUUGAGGGGGGCUGCUCCUAGUACGAGAGGACCGGAGUGGACGCAUCACUGGUGUUCGGGUUGUCAUGCCAAUGGCACUGCCCGGUAGCUAAAUGCGGAAAAGAUAAGUGCUGAAAGCAUCUAAGCACGAAACUUGCCCCGAGAUGAGUUCUCCCUGAGACUUUAAGUCUCCUGAAGGAACGUUAAAGACUAUGACGUUGAUAGGUCGGGUGUGUAAGCGCAGCGAUGCGUUGAGCUAACCGAUACUAAUGAACCGUGAGGCUUAACCUUACAACGCCGAAG
rnacentral:rRNA from 1 species